ACUUGAACAGUGUGCAUGCUGUCGUCAGCUCUGUGUGAAUGUGGGUUAGUCCGCCACAGCGCAACCUAUCCUGUUGCCAGCGAGUAAUGUCGGAACUGCAGGGAGACUGCCGGGAUAACCGGAGAAGGCGGGACGACGUCAGUCAUCAUGCCCUUACGAGUAGGGUACACACGUGCUACAAUGCGCAUACAGAGGGCAGCCAACUUGCGAAAGUGAGCGAAUCCCAAAAAGUGCGUCGUAGUCCGGAUUGGAGUCUGCAACUCGACUCCAUGAAGUCGGAAUCGCUAGUAAUCGUGGAUCAGAAUGCCACGGUGAAUACGUUCCCGGGCCUUGUACACACCGCCCGUCACACCAUGGGAGUGGGCUGCAAAAGAAGUAGGUAGUUUAACCUUCGGGGGGACGCUUACCACUUUGUGGUUCAGACUGGGGUGAAGUCGUAACAAGGUAACCG
rnacentral:rRNA from 1 species